CCAGUUGAUGAUGAUGAUGAUACGAUCUCUUAUAUCAUUGCUGGCCUCGACUUAGAUUAUGAACCAGUCAUCUCCAACAUCACGGGUCGGCCUGAUCCGAUCUCUGUUGGCGAGGCGGUCGCGCAGCUUCUUAGCUUUGAGC
rnacentral:snoRNA from 1 species